AAUACAUGUUGAUUUUCCGUAGCAUUCAUACCUGGUAUUUCUAUCAGCCAAUCGGAAAAGUUCUACUUGCCAUACAAACAUACAUACAUAAGAUUAUGCGUAAAUAGGCACUGAUAAGACUGCAAGUGGUAAAUUUUUUUUUUUUUACAUUCUGUGAGAGUGUUGCUGGCGACUGUAUCAGCUGCUUCAUCACCCAUCAAAAAUCGUUCAAGUGGAUGGGCACGCUGUCGUAUUUGGAGAGGCGAAACAAGCCGGCAGGUGA
rnacentral:lncRNA from 1 species